AACAUCGCGCACCUGCGGGAACCUGCGGAGGGAUCAUUAUAGAAAAACCGUGAUUUCUACAAGUUGCGGGGGGUUGGGUGGGGUUGGUGCCGUACUCUGCACUUUUCCCUGUCUGGCUCCCUGCUUCUUCAAACAAAUUAUCGCAACUAGAGCAAUUGUUUUGGGUUGGGGGGACCGCACACAGGAAAAGUGUUUGCCUGAUAUCUGAGCUUCUUUUAUGAGGGGAUAGAAAAAACAAAA
rnacentral:misc_RNA from 1 species